AACGAACGUUGGCGGCGUGGAUUAGGCAUGCAAGUCGAGCGAAUCCCAGCAAUGGGGGAAGCGGCGAAAGGGGCAGUAAGGCAUGGGUAACCUACCCUGGGGACUGGGAUAGCCCUUCGAGAGAAGGGGUAAUACCGGGCGACGUGCCGAGGAGGAAUCUCCUUGUCACCAAAUGAGUUUCGCCCUGGGAGGGGCCCAUGUGAUAUUAGCUAGUUGGUGGGGUAACGGCCCACCAAGGCGAAGAUGUCUAGCGGGUGUGAGAGCACGACCCGCGCCACUGGCACUGAGACACUGGCCAGACACCUACGGGUGGCUGCAGUCGAGGAUCUUCGGCAAUGGGCGCAAGCCUGACCGAGCGACGCCGCGUGUGCGAUGAAGGCCUUCGGGUUGUAAAGCACUGUCGAGAGGGAGAAAAGCGCAAGCUUGAUCUAUCUCUGGAGGAAGCACGGGCUAAGUUCGUGCCAGCCGCCGCUGUAACAC
rnacentral:rRNA from 1 species